UAGGGAAUCUUCGGCAAUGGGGGCGAACCCUGACCGAGCAACGCCGCGUGAGUGAAGAAGGUUUUCGGAUCGUAAGGCUCUGUUGUAAGAGAAGAACGUGUGUGAGAGUGGAAAGUUCACACAGUGACGGUAACUUACCAGAAAGGGACGGCUAACUACGUGCCAG
rnacentral:rRNA from 1 species